CCCGCUGACUGGCCGUUCGGGAGUUUAAGAUGGCCGCCAUCCAUUGUUCUUCGCCAUGUGUUCGGCUCCCGAAAUGGCGGCCACCCGGGAACUCUCAAUUAACUUGCGGUUACGCACGAUUCUAUGUUCUAAUUGCUACCCAGGGUGGUCCUUGUUCGGUAAAAUAGCUAUCUUACCGAACAAGGGAUUUGAACGUACAGAAGAUAGCGAAUGCACCAGUAAUACAGGUAAUAAAUCUCACGAAUACAACAGCAGGGAGGGAAAUAGUCAAAACAAAUUGAGGGUGAUUCUUCACAUACACACGCACACACUCACAUGCUGGCUCUUACACACGCACACACUCACAUGCUGGCUCUAACACACGCACACACUCACAUGCUGGCUCUUACACACGCACACACUCACAUGCUGGC